rnacentral:tmRNA from 1 species
GGGGGCGUAAAGGUUUCGACGGGGAUUUUGAUUACAGGUAAGCGGGUAGAGACGGUAUGACCUCUUUAAAAUAUACCAGACUUAAAUAAUAAACGAUAACAAUAGUUACGCUAUUGCUGCCUAAGUGCAGCACGUCCCUCCGUUGAGCACCACGGCUUCGGUCCGGGCGUCAUUCAGUGGUAAAUGUGAACUGUGAGUUUGCCUUUAUAACAGUCACACACAAAACGGCUGCUUUGUUUUGUCUUUUGUCGGUUCAGACUCUAUAAAAGCAUAAAUUAAAAUCGACUUCACCCGAAGAAAGCCUGUCGGAUGAGUUUUCGGACAGGGGUUCGACUCCCCUCGCCUCCACCA